GCGAAAGUGAUCGUCCGAGGUGCCGGUGCUCUUGUCAGAGGGCAACGGAGAAUUGGGAAGCCGGUGAAAGGCCGGCGCUGCCCCCGCAACGGUAAGCAUGGGGGGUAUGGGCGAAAUACCACUGGGCGCAAAGCCCGGGAAGGUGCCCGUAUCCUGACCCGCAAGCCCGGAAACCAGCCUUGGACCAACGUCAAGC
rnacentral:ncRNA from 2 species